CGGGUCUCCGCUUGGUGACCAGCGGAGGGAUCAUUAUCGAGUUUACAACUCCCAAACCCUUAUGUGAACAUACCUACUGUUGCUUCGGCGGACUCGCCCCGGCGUCCGGACGGCCUCGCGCCGCCCGCGGCCCGGACCCAGGCGGCCGCCGGAGACCCCCAAACUCUGUAUUAUCAGCAUUUUCUGAAUCCGCCGCAAGGCAAAACAAAUGAAUCAAAACUUUCAACAACGGAUCUCUUGGUUCUGGCAUCGAUGAAGAACGCAGCGAAAUGCGAUAAGUAAUGUGAAUUGCAGAAUUCAGUGAAUCAUCGAAUCUUUGAACGCACAUUGCGCCCGCCAGCAUUCUGGCGGGCAUGCCUGUUCGAGCGUCAUUUCAACCCUCGACUUCCCUUUGGGGAAAUCGGCGUUGGGGAACGGCAGCAUACCGCCGGCCCCGAAAUGAAGUGGCGGCCCGUCCGCGGCGACCUCUGCGUAGUAAUCCAACUCGCACCGGAACCCCGACGUGGCCACGCCGUAAAACACCCAACUUCUGAACGUUGACCUCGGAUCAGGUAGGAAUACCCGCUGAACUUAAGCAUAUCAAAAAGCGGAGG
rnacentral:rRNA from 1 species